rnacentral:rRNA from 1 species
GUCCUAGCCGUAAACGAUGAACACUAGGCGUCGUCGGUAUCGACCCCGGCGGUGCCGUAGCUAACGCAUUAAGUGUUCCGCCUGGGGAGUACGGCCGCAAGGCUAAAACUCAAAGGAAUUGACGGGGGCCCGCACAAGCAGCGGAGCGUGUGGUUUAAUUCGUCGGUACGCGAAGAACCUUACCAGGGCUUGACAUGCAGUGGAAAGCGGCGGAAACGUCGUCCUCCCGCAAGGGAUCGCUGUGCAGGUGUUGCAUGGCUGUCGU